GUCUAUGGCCAUACCGCUCUGAACAUGCCCAAUUUUGUCUGAUGAUUUUGGAAGCUAAACAGGAUUGGGCUUGGUUAGUACUGGAGACCACCUGGGAAUACCAGGUGAUGUACAGU
rnacentral:rRNA from 1 species